GCCCUUGUAGCUCAGUUGGUAGAGCACUUGAUUUGUAACCAAGUUUUUCCACAAAACACGUUAUAACUCGAUCUAACCAAGCGCGCCA
rnacentral:tRNA from 1 species